AGCACAUAGCCACUAUCUGAGGCUCACGUGCACUAGCUCUCUCACAUUCACAAAAUGUAUGGGGUUCCAGUAGGAUGAGAACAGUCUAUACAGAGAUACUGUUUAAGCAUCACAAAAGCAUUCAGCAAGUAGUCCUUCAUUUGAAAAAGCUGCAUGAACUGUGACUGACAAAUGUAAUUGCCUAUGGAUGCUGCACUAUAUUAAACCAAUGUAUAUAAGGCACUGGAGUAUGGAUGGCUCUGAUACAUCAGCUUGAAACCUGUCAUUUGGAGAUCGAGCGCUAGAUGCACAUACAACAAUACAAGCAUGCAACAGUCCAUUUCUACACAAUGAGAAGGCAC